AGAGAACGCUGGCGGUAGGCCCAACACAUGCAAGUCGAACGGCAGCACAGUAAGAGCUUGCUCUUACGGGUGGCGAGUGGCGGACGGGUGAGGAAUACAUCGGAAUCUACUUUUUCGUGGGGGAUAACGUAGGGAAACUUACGCUAAUACCGCAUACGACCUACGGGUGAAAGCAGGGGAUCUUCGGACCUUGCGCGAUUGAAUGAGCCGAUGUCGGAUUAGCUAGUUGGCGGGGUAAAGGCCCACCAAGGCGACGAUCCGUAGCUGGUCUGAGAGGAUGAUCAGCCACACUGGAACUGAGACACGGUCCAGACUCCUACGGGAGGCAGCAGUGGGGAAUAUUGGACAAUGGGCGCAAGCCUGAUCCAGCCAUACCGCGUGGGUGAAGAAGGCCUUCGGGUUGUAAAGCCCUUUUGUUGGGAAAGAAAAGCAGCAGGUUAAUACCCCGCUGUUCUGACGGUACCCAAAGAAUAAGCACCGGCUAACUUCGUG
rnacentral:rRNA from 1 species